AGAAUUUGAUCUUGGUUCAGGAUGAACGCUGGCGGCGUGCUUGACACAUGUAAGUCGUACGAUCUCUCGUCUUCGGAUUGAGAGAUAGUGGCGAACGGGUGAGUAACACGUUGGUGACCUGCCCCGAAGUGGGGGAUAACGAUGGGAAACCGUCGCUAAUACCGCAUACGCUCUGGAGGGUUAGAGGCCUCCAGUGCAAAGCUCCGGCGCUUCGGGAAGGGGCCUGCGGCCUAUCAGCUAGUUGGUAGGGUAAUGGCCUACCAAGGCUAAGACGGGUAGGGGCGUGAGAGCGUCGGCCCCCCACAAUGGAACUGAGACACGGUCCAUACUCCUACGGGAGGCAGCAGUGAGGAAUAUUGCACAAUGGGGAAACCCUGAUGCAGCAACGCCGCGUGGGUGAUGAAGGCCUUCGGGUCGUAAAACCCUUUUCUGGAGGAAGAGUAAGGACGGUACUCCAGGAAUAAGUCCCGGCUAACUACGUGCCAGCAGCUGC
rnacentral:rRNA from 1 species